CCUACGGGAGGCAGCAGUGAGGAAUAUUGGUCAAUGAGCUUACGCCUGAACCAGCCAUGCCGCGUGCAGGAUGACGGCUCUAUGAGUUGUAAACUGCGUUUGUACGAGGGUAAACGCAGAUACGCGUAUCUGUCUGAAAGUAUCGUACGAAUAAGGAUCGGCUAACUCCGUGCCAGCAGCCGCGGUAAUACGGAGGAUUCAAGCGUUAUCCGGAUUUAUUGGGUUUAAAGGGUGCGUAGGCGGUCGGAUAAGUUAGAGGUGAAAUCCCGAGGCCUAACUUCGGAAUUGCCUCUGAUACUGUUCGGCUAGAGAGUAGUUGCGGUAGGCGGAAUGUAUGGUGUAGCGGUGAAAUGCUUAGAGAUCAUACAGAACACCGAUUGCGAAGGCAGCUUACCAAGCUACUUCUGACGUUGAGGGACGAAAGCGUGGGGAGCAAACAGGAUUAGAUACCCUAGUAGUC
rnacentral:rRNA from 1 species